rnacentral:rRNA from 1 species
AGUGAACGCUGGCGGUAGGCCUAACACAUGCAAGUCGAACGGCAGCACAGUAAGAGCUUGCUCUUACGGGUGGCGAGUGGCGGACGGGUGAGGAAUACAUCGGAAUCUACUUUUUCGUGGGGGAUAACGUAGGGAAACUUACGCUAAUACCGCAUACGACCUACGGGUGAAAGCAGGGGAUCUUCGGACCUUGCGCGAUUGAAUGAGCCGAUGUCUGAUUAGCUAGUUGGCGGGGUAAAGGCCCACCAAGGCGACGAUCCGUAGCUGGCCUGAGAGGAUGAUCAGCCACACUGGAACUGAGACACGGUCCAGACUCCUACGGGAGGCAGCAGUGGGGAAUAUUGGACAAUGGGCGCAAGCCUGAUCCAGCCAUACCGCGUGGGUGAAGAAGGCCUUCGGGUUGUAAAGCCCUUUUGUUGGGAAAGAAAAGCAGCAGGUUAAUACCCCGCUGUUCUGACGGUACCCAAAGAAUAAGCACCGGCUAACUUCGUG